rnacentral:rRNA from 1 species
AGUGAACGCUGGCGGUAGGCCUAACACAUGCAAGUCGAACGGCAGCACAGUAAGAGCUUGCUCUUACGGGUGGCGAGUGGCGGACGGGUGAGGAAUACAUCGGAAUCUACUUUUUCGUGGGGGAUAACGUAGGGAAACUUACGCUAAUACCGCAUACGACCUACGGGUGAAAGCAGGGGAUCUUCGGACCUUGCGCGAUUGUAUGAGCCGAUGUCGGAUUAGCUAGUUGGCGGGGUAAAGGCCCACCAAGGCGACGAUCCGUAGCUGGUCUGAGAGGAUGAUCAGCCACACUGGAACUGAGACACGGUCCAGACUCCGACGGGAGGCAGCAGUGGGGAAUAUUGGACAAUGGGCGCAAGCCUGAUCCAGCCAUACCGCGUGGGUGAAGAAGGCCUUCGGGUUGUAAAGCCCUGUUGUUGGGAAAGAAAAGCAGCAGGUUAAUACCCCGCUGUUCUGACGGUACCCAAAGAAUAAGCACCGGCUAACUUCGUG